UAACUUUCGACAACGGAUCUCUUGGCUCUUGCAUCGAUGAAGAACGCAGCGAAAUGCGAUUAGUAAUGUGAAUUGCAGAAUUCCGUGAAUCAUUAAAUCUUUGAACGCAAAAUGCACCUCUUGGUAUUCCGAGGAGUAUGCUUGCUUGAGGGUUGGUC
rnacentral:rRNA from 1 species